rnacentral:lncRNA from 1 species
CAAUAUAUUGUUAUGCAACAAGAGAGUUAUCAAUGAAAAUUGAAGCGCCAAAAUAUCUUCAGGUCCAAAUUUUGAAUGCACACUGAUACAAUUUAUUCUAAAUUUUUCCGCCGCCAUCUCUCUACAAAAUUUAAGCAGUGCGUCUACAAGUAUGGACAAAGAUUCAAACAGAUCAAAGCAAAGAUAAUAUUUUUCCAUGCCAACAAAGAGCUUGGGAAGAAACAGAAUCUGCAAUAAGCAAAACUGAUUAGAAGAGGGAUAUUACUAGUGCAAAUAUAUGUAAUUCAUUUCAAUAACUUUAAAAUAAUUUCUUUUCCUUACUUUUGGAGAUCAAGGACUCUUUCCAAUAGGUAAGAGUUGCGUAAAGGCCAAUUAGUUGAUCAAAUUUGCGGUCAUUUACCAUGCCAUAACUGCUCCAGACUCAUCUACUUGACUUAAGCAUCCUGGUAAGUCAUAAAUGGAGACGCUGAUAUUACCAUGUUCCUUGAAGAUGGAUGUUGUGAUAUCAAGCAGUCACCAUACCAAUGUAUCGCUGCCUUUUCUUGUUCUUAUUUGGCAUGGCCAAGCUCUGAUGGUAAGCAACCCUCACUUCCAACCGAGAGGUUGUGAGUUCGAGUCUCACCAAGAGCAAGGUGGGAUGUUCUUGAAGGGAAUGAUGCCGGGGGUCUAUUUGGAAACAGCCUUUCUGCCCGUGGGUAGGGGUAAGGUCUGCGUACAUACUACCCUCCCCAAACCCCACUAAAUGAGAUUAUAUUGGGUUGUUGUUGUUGUAUUUGGCAUGGCCAACUAACAUCUUUGGUGAGUGUAAACAUUAGUCUAAAUCAAAAUCAGAGUUGCCUCUAACAGCCCUAGCUAGAACGUCUGGGAUUUUCGAGUGACUGUACCGAGGAAUUCUACCAUACUCCAUGCAACUAUAAUUAUUGAUCUUGCAUAGUCUAUCCAAAGGUUCAAGCCAGAUAUACUAACUCCAUGAACAACCAAAUUGAGAAAUAAAUCAGUAGAACAAGAAAGAAUUGUAGUAGCCAUGAUGGCAGUACUAUACCAAUUUUCAGAUCUCAAGAAUAUUCUCUACUCACCAUAAAAAACUAGUAGUAGUAGAAAAUAACUAAUUGUCUCACUCUCCUCGUCCUUCUUCC